rnacentral:rRNA from 1 species
GCGGCAGGCUUAACACAUGCAAGUCGAGGGGUAAGGAUCUGCUUGCAGAUCACACGACCGGCGCACGGGUGAGUAAUACUUAUGCAACUUGCCUGUAACUGGAGGAUAGCCCGUGGAAACGCGGAUUAAUACUCCAUAAUAUCAUAAAGACACAUGUUUUAAUGAUUAAAGCUACGGCGGUUACAGAUGGGCAUAAGUCCUAUUAGUUAGUUGGUAAGGUAACGGCUUACCAAGGCUACGAUAGGUAGGGGUCCUGAGAGGGUUAUCCCCCACACUGGUACUGAGACACGGACCAGACUCCUACGGGAGGCAGCAGUGAGGAAUAUUGGUCAAUGGAGGCAACUCUGAACCAGCCAUGCCGCGUGCAGGAUGACUGUCCUAUGGAUUGUAAACUGCUUUUCUGCAAGAAGAAAGUUCGCUACGUGUAGUGAUUUGACGGUAUUGCAGGAAUAAGCAUCGGCUAACUCCGUGCCAGCAGCCGCGGUAAUACGGAGGAUGCAAGCGUUAUCCGGAUUUAUUGGGUUUAAGGGGUGUGUAGGCGGUAAGGUAAGUUAAAGGUGAAAGUCUGCAGCUUAACUGUAGAAGUGCCCUUGAUACUGUCUUACUUGAGUUUAGUUGAGGUUGGCGGAAUGUGUAAUGUAGCGGUGAAAUGCAUAGAUAUUACACAGAACACCGAUUGCGAAGGCAGCUGACCAAGCUAACACUGACGCUGAGGCACGAAAGCGUGGGGAGCGAACAGGAUUAGAUACCCUGGUAGUCCACGCUGUAAACUUUGAUCACUCGUUGUAGGCGAUACACAGUCUGUGACUGAGCGAAAGCAUUAAGUGAUCCACCUGGGGAGUACGAUCGCAAGGUUGAAACUCAAAGGAAUUGACGGGGGCCCGCACAAGCGGAGGAACAUGUGGUUUAAUUCGAUGAUACGCGAGGAACCUUACCUGGGCUUAAAUGUAGAUUGCAUUUCUGAGAAAUCAGAAUUUCCUUCGGGACCAUUUACAAGGUGCUGCAUGGUUGUCGUCAGCUCGUGCCGUGAGGUAUCGGGUUAAGUCCCAUAACGAGCGCAACCCCUAUUGUUAGUUGCCAUCAGUUCGGCUGGGGACUCUAACAAAACUGCCCGUGUAAGCGGGAGGAAGGUGGGGAUGACGUCAAAUCAGCACGGCCCUUACGUCCAGGGCUACACACGUGUUACAAUGGCAGGUACAAAGGGCAGCUACACAGUAAUGUGAUGCUAAUCUCAAGAGCCUGUCUUAGUUCGGAUUGGAGUCUGCAAUUCGACUUCAUGAAGCAGGAUUCGCUAGUAAUCGCACAUCAGCCAUGGUGCGGUGAAUACGUUCCCGGGCCUUGUACACACUGCCCGUCAAGCCAUGGAAGUCGGUAGUAUCUGAAGACUGUAACCGCGAGGAGCGGUCUAGGGUAAGACCGAUGACUGGGGCU